rnacentral:lncRNA from 1 species
GCAGGCAAGAGUUUGGGACUGUUUUUUUUUUUUCCUCCUGAUUUAUCUCAAUUGCCUGAAACAAUGACUGGCACAUAUUAGACACUUACUACACCUUGGACAGAACACCCCUCCCGCCCCCGAUCUUGACAUCUGACCUCAGUCUCUGGGAAACCCUAAUGCAAGCAGAAGCCUGGAGACCCUGAAAUUCCCCAUGUCUGGGAGCAUCUAACAGCAUCGGGAGCUCAGUGUCACAGGGCAACCAGCAACUGUAUCUACACAUCUUUAUAAUUCAAGUGUUCUAGCCCACAUCCACAUGAGCUCACUGCUUCUGUUGUGGAAACCGCAUUGAAAGGGCAGUGGCCCUGGUGUUAGAAGAUUCCAGUCUGUGUCCUGGUGCUGCCCCGACCCUGGGUAAGUCCAUGAACCUUUCUUUUUGAGUCUUAGACUUUCCAUCUCAA